rfam:Schistosoma haematobium scaffold1086_4, whole genome shotgun sequence.
AUUCGGCUGACGAAUCUCAAAUAGAAAGAAACGCGCGUCCUGAAU